GCAGCGGGCUGGGACCCACGCGGCGCCGCAGCCCACCUGGCCUGCAGCGCUCCCACCCCCGGCGGCGGCGGCGGCGGCACGAUGCCCUUUGACUUCAGGAGUGCCUACGGGACCUUGUGCAGCUUACCUUCUGUGUGUUCUCCUGUCUGUGAAAUGGGCAUGAGAACAGUACCCAUUGUUGAGAGGAUUAAACAAGUCAAUGUGUGUAAAGCAUUUAGACACAGUAAGCACCCAAUAAAUUUUGGCCACUAUUUUCA